UUCCUCAUGGAAGAAGACGAUGCGUGGCGGUCGUGGCUGGAUUCCGCGAUCGCGCACUUGAUCGGCUCCAAGGUCCUUCGAUCCAUGCGCACUGUGAGUGUAGCUAGCGGCGCCAGCAGCGCCACUAGCAGCGGCAAUGCAGGUGGAUUUUCCGAUAAUCGAGGCGCCUGGGAAGAUCAAGCGGUACAACUCCAAGUCUCUCCCGAGACAUUCCAGCGCUGGAUCGAUGAUGAGCCUAGCACAGGAGAAUCGUGUGGAGAGAAAGAGAGAAUGCGAUCGCUCAUCCAAUUCUCUGGAAACGAUUAUCUUGGACUCUCCAUGCAUCCGGCUGUUCGCUCCGCCGCAUCCAAGGCUGCUAUCGAAUUUGGAAUGGGACCAAGAGGCUCUGCUCUUAUUUGUGGCUAUACGAUUCAUCACAGAAGACUUGAAUCGGCUAUAGCAUCGCUUAAAAACACAGAGGAAUGCUUGCUGUGUCCUACAGGAUUUGCAGCUAAUAUGGCUGUUAUGACCGCAAUCUCCAUGAAUAUUCCAGGCUUCUCCUCGCAGAACAAGAUAGCUAUCUUUUCCGACGAGUUAAAUCAUGCUUCGAUCAUCGACGGUGUCCGGGUGGCUCAAAAGCAGAAUAACUCCGAGGUUUACGUCUAUUCCCAUAAUAACAUGAGAGAAUUAGAAAGCAAGCUAUCUUCCUGCAAACUUGAGAGGAAAGUCGUGGUUACUGACAGUCUAUUUAGCAUGGAUGGAGAUUUCGCCCCUCUGGACAAGCUUGUCCAACUGCGGGAUAAGUAUAAUUUUGUUCUGGUUAUCGACGAUGCCCACGGAACUUUGGUCUGUGGUGAAAAUGGAGGUGGAGUGGCCGAAGCUUAUGGCGUCGAAGAAAAAAUCGAUGUUUAUGUCGGCACUUUGAGCAAAGCAUUUGGUUGUCAGGGUGGUUUCAUUGCUACCAGGUAUGAUAUAAUUCUCUCUCAACCGUUUCUUAAGCAUUUUCUCUGCAGUCGCAAGUGGAAGUUGCUGAUGCAAUCUAGAGGCCGCUCUUUCGUUUUUUCGACUUCGCUCACUCUUCCCGUGGUGGCGGCGGCUCAUGCUGCUCUCGUCGUUGCUAGCGAAGAAAAAUGGCGGCGUCAAGCACUGUGGAGCAGAGUAAAACAAUUUGCUCAUUUGACGGGGCUAGACAUACAAAGUCCAAUCGUUUCGGUGGUCAUUGGCAGCGAGAAAGAUGCACUCCUGGCGAGCAAGGACGUUCUCAAGGCUGGUUUUCAUGUACUGCCAAUUAGACCACCAGUUGUUCCUCCAAAUUCAUCCAGGCUUAGAAUCACUUUGUGUGCCUCGCAUACAGAAGCUCAUGUACAGGCUCUAUACGAAUGUCUUGCUCCAUGGCUAUCACGAAGCAAGACGAUCGGCUUGGAGCCUCUCUCCAAGCUGUGAGACACGACAGAUUUACAGGCGAUUAUACGAAGUUACUUUUUUCUCUGAGACAGGAGAAAGUUUGCUUCCAACGCAAAUCUUCUGUUCCCGUCUACUUCAAUUAAACGAGACGUGAAAAUGUCAUUGGUUCUGCUGUUGCUGCUGCUGCUGCUGCUGUCCCUGGUUGUGCAUUCGGUCCCAACGAUCGGUGCCAGAGGAGUACUUGGCAAAGAUGGAAACUCCAU